AAUCCGAUGUACCUCCCAUCGAAUACCCGGGAUGUUGUGAAAAGUGUGGGUAGUAGGGUGGCUGAACAAAUCCCGAGGCCUGAGUGCCUCCUUGGGACUCUCCCAUACCUUCUUCCGACAUGCUAACUCCCAAACUGCCAUCCCUCCUCUGCUCUACAUCCAUCUGGUCCCCCACUUCCUCUGACAUUCCGCCCUGAACUGUUCCUCUAACUGAUCUGCUC
rnacentral:lncRNA from 1 species